rnacentral:rRNA from 1 species
AAGUCGCACGAGAACGCUUCAGCUUGCUGAAGCUAGUAAAGUGGCGCACGGGUGAGUAACGCGUGGGUAAUCUACCUCCAAAUUGGGGAUAACAUUGCGAAAGCGAUGCUAAUACCGAAUAAUAUCUCAAAACUUCGGUUUUCGAGAUCAAAGGUGGCCUCUCCAUGGAAGCUACUGUUAGGAGAUGAGCCCGCGUACCAUUAGCUUGUUGGUAGGGUAAUGGCCUACCAAGGCAACGAUGGUUAGCUGGUCUGAGAGGAUGAUCAGCCACACUGGAACUGACACACGGUCCAGACUCCUACGGGAGGCAGCAGUGAGGAAUUUUGCGCAAUGGGGGAAACCCUGACGCAGCAACGCCGCGUGAGUGAUGAAGGCCUUCGGGUCGUAAAGCUCUGUCAAGUGGGAAGAACCCGCCCUGUGCUAAUAUCACCGGGCACUGACGGUACCACUGAAGGAAGCACCGGCUAACUCCGUG